GAUGAAGAACGCAGCGAAACGCGAUAGUUAAUGUGAAUUGCAGAAUUCAGUGAAUCAUCGAGUCCUUGAACGCACAUUGCGCCCAUCGGUAUUCCUUUGGGCAUGUCUGUUUGAGCGUCAUUACAACACCUCAGCACCAGCUGGUAUUGGGCCCGCACCUUGGAAACAGGGUGCCAGCCUUAAAGUUGUAAGCUCUGCUGGCUGCUUUGCCCGACCAAAACGUAGUAAUUUCUUACAUCUCGUUCAGGAAAGCAAAGUCAGACCCGGCCUGAACAAAAUCUUUCAUUCUAAGGUUUGACCUCAGAUCAGACAAGGAUACCCGCUGAACUUAAGCAUAUCAAUAAGCGGAGGA
rnacentral:misc_RNA from 1 species